UGGGGAAUAUUGGGCAAUGGGCGCAAGCCUGACCCAGCAACGCCGCGUGAAGGAAGAAGGCUUUCGGGUUGUAAACUUCUUUUCUGAGGGACGAAGGAAGUGACGGUACCUCAGGAAUAAGCCACGGCUAACUACGUGCCAGCAGCCGCGGUAAUACGUAGGUGGCAAGCGUUAUCCGGAUUUAUUGGGUGUAAAGGGCGUGUAGGCGGGAAUGCAAGUCAGAUGUGAAAACUAUGGGCUCAACCCAUAGCCUGCAUUUGAAACUGUAUUUCUUGAGUGCUGGAGAGGCAAUCGGAAUUCCGU
rnacentral:rRNA from 1 species